rnacentral:rRNA from 1 species
AAUUUUGCUCAAUGGGCGCAAGCCUGAAGCAGCGACGCCGCGUGAAUGAUGAAGUCUUUCGGGAUGUAAAGUUCUGUCAACAGGGACAAUAAUGAUGGUACCUGUGGAGGAAGCACCGGCAAACUAUGUGCCAGCAGCCGCGGUAAUACAUAGGGUGCAAGCGUUAUCCGGAUUUACUGGGCGUAAAGCGUAUGUAGGCGGCAUUUUAAGUCAAACUUCAAAUCCCGGGGCUCAACCUCGGUUCGGGUUUGAGACUGGAAUGCUAGAGUUUGGGAGAGGAAAGCGGAACUAACAGUGUAGCGGUGAAAUGCGUAGAUAUUGUUAGGAACACCCGUGGCGAAGGCGGCUUUCUGGAUCAAUACUGACGCUGAGAUACGAAAGCGUGGGGAGCAA